CUGACUCAGUUGUGUUUUCUGGUUUUGGGGAAUAUCUUUAAUCACCACAUGAAUGUUUAUAAACUGUUGGGGCUAAACAUGAAACUCACUCUUCAGGUGCCGUCUCCACCUAGCCACCGUGUACAUUUUCUUUCUCUCUCUUGCAGCUGUUCUCUUCCUACGGACUGAAUGAAAAAUAAAAGGAAGUCAUUUCUGCAUGUGUCACAGAGGCAUCCUUUGGUUCUAAAGGAAGCUAAGUUGGAUUCCACAAGCCCAUGGUCCUUAUAGCAUGUGAAUAGGAUUCAGUCACGGACGAGAAGGAAGAGGUUCAGGAGAGACUGUAAUCGCCCUGUCCAGGCUAACCCUCCAGCUGUGCAGGAGUAUCAAGUCCAAAAAGAAGCUCUUCAAACCAUCUGGGAAGAGAAAACAGCAUGACAAGGAAAGGUGUAUUUGUCUGAUUCUAGGAAUCAAUAUAAACAUCCAUGAUAACCCCAUCUAAUUUUUAAAUGUAUGAUUUGGAUGAAACAAGAGAAGACACUGAUUGUUGCUGAGUCCCUGCUGUAGUCCUGACACAGCUGGAGAUGCCCUGCUCUCCUUAUUUUCUUGAUGCUCAUGAGGACCCUGAUGUCUAAGGAAGAAGGUUCUCGUCCAGGUCUGCCCCUGGUGUGUCACGUGCCAGCCUUGUCAAUGCACACGAGAACCUGACAGGUUUUAUGAUUUUAGAACAUAAGUUUUAUGAUUGUUAGUGCUGGGCAACAAAAAGGAGUCCAGAGGAACGGGAGAAAAAACAACAAUAGCAAUGAUGUGAAUGCAAAACAUGAACCAGACUAAGCAGAGCAGAGGGCGGUGUGGAGCGGGAAGCAGAGACAGAAGCUUGUGAUGUUUCAGUGAUUGCUGGGAGUUAUUCAUCACCGGUAAGCCUCAUGUUCCAAAGACUCAUCAGGGCCAGGGGUUAGUUUUACGAGCUCUGUGUAAAAGAUCAUUACACAGGGCCAGUUAGAGUUCCCGCAGGAAGGAAGCGGCACACCCUAUGGGGUGAUUAGGAAGAGUGUCAUGAAGGGUGCCACACUCACACCCUAGGAAAGAGGAAAGGGGCCCAAGGGGACUCACAGAGGGAGCAGAGGGUCUGUGGGCCACAGCCAGCCCAACCACAGAGUGGCCAGAGUGACAUAGGCCCCCUCUCUGCAGGCUGGUCUCCUGCUUGGGUGUGCCCCAAGUCACCCACCCAGAAGUCAAAGGUCGAGCAUGCUUUCCAUGAAGUCUGGAGGUACAGAGCAAGGCAGACAGCCACGGGCGUGUCAGGAGGGCAGCGGGAAAUGCUCAUCCCCUUCUCCAAGAAGAGGGAAUCCCACCAUCCACAGGUUCUUCCUGCUCUGUCUCAAAGGCGGAGGCAGCUAGAAUACUCUGUCAAAAAGCAACCACAGGAAGAACAUAAUGUCAAUGCAUGGCUUUAUGUUAACAUAAUUACAUUUAUUCCAGACAAAGGUUUUUUGUAAAUUAAAGAUAGAUUAUGUUGCAACUUUUAUACUCCUCUGCCUAAUUUAGUGAGUAUUUGAUAUAUUCAGAUUUAUUUUAACCAAUUAGUUUUUUUUAAUAGAGGCAGGGUCUCAGUCUGUCACCUUGGCUGAAGUGCUGGUGUGAUCACAGCUCACUACAGCCUUGACCUCCUGGGCUCAAAUGAUCCUCUCACCUCAAUCUCUCAAGUAGCUGGGACUACGGACGAGCACCACCACAAUCACCUAAUUUUUUUUUUUAAUUUUUAGUAGAGACCAGGUCUCACUAACUUGCCCGGGCUGGCCUUGAACUCCUGAGUCCAAAUGAUCCUCCUGCCUUAGCCUCCCAAAGUGCCUGCAAUUACAGACAUAAGCCACCGUGCCAGCCGGCUGAUUAAAUUAAUUAUAUGUGUGCCUUAACUAAAAAAUGAGAUUGCUCAAUAUAGAGUAACUUGUUUUUCUUAUAGAAUUAUCAGAAAGUAAUGCUUUUUUGAAAUGUUGUUUCACUAAAAUAUUUUUAAUUUGUUUUCUUGGUAUUUCGUUAUGACAAUUUUUUCCUUCUACCUCAACUGCCGUACUGUCAGCAUUUCCUGAGGGUCCGAUAAGUAGGGAAAUGCACCAAGAAGCAACGUGGACCAAGCAAUAAAAAUAAACAAAUAAAAGAAGAAAAUCCCACUGCAAAAAAGUCUGAAACAGAAUUCUUGACUCCCCGACAUUCAUCCCUGCCUCAGCCUGUCCCCCAUUUCACCCUCCUUAUUUCCACACAGGGCUGUGCAUCCCUACUCGCUCAGAUCUAAAACUCUACACCCUAUGCCCAACUCCUCUUUCCUGCACACUUCCUACCAGCCCAUCAGAAAGCCUGCUGACUCCUCUCCUGAAGCACUGCGUGAGGGUGACCCCUCCUCCCUGUGAGCACCGCAACAGCCCCAGUGGAACCACCAUCCCGGCCCCGAUGCAACUGUUUCCCCACAGGGUCCCCACACAUAGCCAUGGUGUAUCCCCUCCAAAACACCCACUCUGCCUGAACACUUCCCCAGCUCUUUAUAUGACUGCCUUCAUUGUAUCAUUCAUCUCUUACCUCAAUUGAACUUCCUCAAAGAAGUGUCCUCACUUAUUCUACAUAUGACAACAUGAGUAACAUCACUCCUUUCCCCAGACUCACUCGUCAUUCCAUUGCAUUUCCCAUUUUCUACAGUGAUCACAAAGUCUGUAUCUAAUUGGAAAAUACUUAUCUGCUUUACUUAUCAUCUGCUUUAAUUUUUAAGUUUUCUUUUUUCUUCUGGACAUCAACUUCCAUGUUGAUGGACGCUGUUGAGCAUUUCCUAGGAAGUGUUUAGGUUUGAGCUGCAAGAGCUGCCUUGUCCAAGACUGAUUUCCACAGGCUGGUCUCCUGCAAAGCCUCAUGGCUAUGGCCAAGUGCUUAAGCUCAGAUGGGGUGGUGAAUUGGUGAAUUACACCAGAACCCUGCCAUGCCAUAGAAGCUACAACUGCAAGGUUAGAAGCUCAGUGCCGUGAUCUGGCCAAGUGUUGAAACUCAGAUGGGGUGGUGAAUUGGUGAAUCAUGUCACGACCCUUCCAUGCCGUAGAAGCCACAACUACAAGGCUAGGAACCCAGUGUCCUGUUGAGAGACAGGACUAGCUGGAUUUCCUAGGCCAACUAAGAAUCCCUAAGCCUAGCUGGG